AGCAGCCGCGGUAAUUCCAGCUCCAAUAGCGUAUAUUAAAGUUGUUGCAGUUAAAAAGCUCGUAGUUGAAUUUCGGGGUUAGUAGGUUGGUCAUGCCUCUGGUAUGUACUGGUCUCACUGAUUCCUCCUUCCUUAUGAACCGUAAUGCCAUUAAUUUGGUGUUGCGGGGAAUUUGGACUGUUACUUUGAAAAAUUAGAGUGUUUAAAGCAAGCUAACGCCUGAAUACAUUAGCAUGGAAUAAUGAAAUAGGACGUUCGAUCUUAUUUUGUUGGUUUCUAGGAUUGACGUAAUGAUUAAUAGGGAUAGUUGGGGGCAUUAGUAUUCAAUUGUCAGAGGUGAAAUUCUUGGAUUUAUUGAAGACUAACUACUGCGAAAGCAUUUGCCAAGGAUGUUUUCAUUAAUCAAGAACGAAAGUUAGGGGAUCGAAGACGAUCAGAUACCGCCGUAGU
rnacentral:rRNA from 1 species